rnacentral:rRNA from 1 species
AGUCGACGGCAGCAUAGGAGCUUGCUCCUGAUGGCGAGUGGCGAACGGGUGAGUAAUAUAUCGGAACGUGCCCUAGAGUGGGGGAUAACUAGUCGAAAGACUAGCUAAUACCGCAUACGAUCUACGGAUGAAAGUGGGGGAUCGCAAGACCUCAUGCUCCUGGAGCGGCCGAUAUCUGAUUAGCUAGUUGGUGGGGUAAAAGCCUACCAAGGCAACGAUCAGUAGCUGGUCUGAGAGGACGACCAGCCACACUGGGACUGAGACACGGCCCAGACUCCUACGGGAGGCAGCAGUGGGGAAUUUUGGACAAUGGGGGCAACCCUGAUCCAGCAAUGCCGCGUGAGUGAAGAAGGCCUUCGGGUUGUAAAGCUCUUUUGUCAGGGAAGAAACGGUAGUAGCGAAUAACUAUUACUAAUGACGGUACCUGAAGAAUAAGCACCGGCUAACUACGUGCCAGCAGCCGCGGUAAUACGUAGGGUGCAAGCGUUAAUCGGAAUUACUGGGCGUAAAGCGUGCGCAGGCGGUUGUGUAAGUCAGAUGUGAAAUCCCCGGGCUCAACCUGGGAAUUGCAUUUGAGACUGCACGGCUAGAGUGUGUCAG